UAGCUCUUCUCUAGCAGCAACUCUUUUCACCUCAUCUAUCAUCAUCAUCAAUGGCAGUGGCGAUUCAUCUCUUCUUCACUUUCCUAGCUUUUCUUCUUUCAGGGUUAAUUUUCUUUCUAGCUUCCCGGAAAACAAAAUCAAAACGUCCGAAUCUUCCUCCAGGCCCUCCGGGCUGGCCAGUUGUUGGCAAUCUCUUCCAAGUAGCUCGCUCCGGCAAGCCUUUCUUCAAAUACGUCGAUGAUCUUCUCCCAAUAUACGGUCCGAUUUUCACCCUCAGGAUGGGAACAAGAACCAUGAUCAUCCUGAGCGACGCCAAGCUAGUCCACGAAGCCCUCAUCGAAAAGGGUAGUCUCUUCGCCACUCGCCCUAGAGAAAACCCUACCAGAACCAUCUUCAGCUGCAACAAGUUCACCGUCAACGCCGCCCUUUACGGGCCCGUCUGGCGGUCCCUGCGAAGAAACAUGGUGCAGAACAUGCUCAGUUCAAGCAGAAUUAGGGAGUUCCGUGAAGUCAGAAACAAGGCAAUGGAUAAAUUAAUCAACAGGCUCAAAGCUGAAGCCGAAGCUACCAACGGAAUCGUUUGGGUGCUUAAAAACGCCCGUUUCGCCGUGUUCUGUAUCCUACUAGCUAUGUGUUUUGGGAUUGACAUGGAUGAGAAGACGAUUGAGAAAAUGGAUCAAGUGAUGAAGAGUGUGUUGAUUGUUUUGGAUCCGAGAAUCGACGAUUAUUUGCCAAUUUUGAGUCCUUUUUUUUCCAAGCAAAGGAAGAGAGCACGGGAAGUGAGGAAAGAGCAAGUUGAUUUUAUGGUACCCUUUAUUGAAUUGCGGAGAAAAAUGCUUCAGAAUCCAGGAUCUGACAAAACGGCAAUGUCGUUUUCGUACUUGGACACUCUAUUUGACCUGAAAAUUGAAGGGAGAACAUCAGGGCCGUCCAAUGAAGAGCUAGUCACGCUCUGCUCGGAGUUUCUCAACGGUGGGACCGACACGACGGCUACGGCGGUAGAGUGGGGGAUAGCGCAGCUGAUUGCUAACCCUGGUGUUCAGGAAAAAGUCUAUGAUGAGAUUAAACGGACGGUUGGUGAUGAUCCUGAUCGAAAAGUUGACGAGAAGGAUGUUGAAAAAAUGCCUUAUUUACAAGCCGUGGUGAAAGAAUUGUUACGUAAACACCCACCGACUUACUUCUCUUUAACCCAUGCAGUAACUGAGGCUACUACACUAGCUGGCUAUG
rnacentral:lncRNA from 1 species